GGUUUUUUACUCCGUUUGUGUUGCAAGCGUGCGUGCGCUCGGCUUUUUUGGUCUUUUAAUUAUUACUUGACGCGCUUGAAAUUCAAUUGUGGUUCGUUCAACUGACGCGCGAAGUGAUUGUAAGUGUACUUAAUAAAAAAAAUAAAUAAAAACCAAAAAUUGCAGUUCGUAAACGUUGGCAAAUCGAAAAUGAAAUAAUAAAAGCGAAAAAUGCAACGAAAAUGGCAUUGAACGAAGACGAAAGAGAAGAAAAGUGAAAAGCAAUUUUUCUGCUACGCUUGAGAACCGAAACGCGACGAAACGAAGAAAACAACAAUUGUGUGUGAGACGACGACGACGGCGAAGAAGCGAAUAGAGAAAAAAAGAUCAUGCGUGCUUGACGACGACGACGUCGAUAAAUGCGGCCGGGGGAGGGGUGAUAACUAGUGCCAAACAAUGCAAGACAGACAACAAAACAAACAGCAACAACAACAACAAAAACAGUAAUAAUAAUAAUAAUAUUGAGAAGCAGCAGCAACAGAUGAUGAUGAUGAUGAUGAUAAAAGAGAGCAGCAACAACACAAGCAGUAUUUGUAUUUCCACAUAAUUAUUGACAACGUGCAGAGCAAGCAAAGAGAGCGAACAAGUAAGAAGAUAUACAAGAAGUAGGAAGACAAGCAAUAAGAAGCAGCAGCCACAACUCUGUCUGGCAUUCAAAAUAUGCGCACACAUACAAACAAACAAACAAACAUAGCACUGCCUUGAAAGCUCAACAAGUUGAAACGAAAAAGAAGGCCAGAAGGAGACAGCAAACAGUGAAGACCUACUUUGCCAAUUUGCCAAAGCGCAACUGACAGUGAUAGAUAGCUUAGAUAGCUAAAGUACUUUGUGUGCAUUGUGUGCUUUAAGCUUUACUUACACGUCAAACACAAUGCAAAGCUUUUGGCUAUUAAUGCUGAUCGCGCAGCUUGUCUGCAGUCAGGAAGCGAUAACAACGACCGAGGACACUUUAACCAUAAGCUCCACAUCCACCACAGCCAGUGUGACCAACGGUGAUCGGCUGCAACCGCCGCCGCGUGUCACGCUGAACAAGUGUUGCCAUGGCGGGGAAUAUUUAAACAGCAGCUCGCGGAUUUGUGUGGCCGGCGCCUCCAAGGAUUGGGUGCCGCUCGUCUUUCUCAUACAGCAGCGACGCUUCUUUGAGCCCGAAGGCUCCAAGCCGCGCUUCGUGAAAUUCGUGCCCAACGUGCAGCCCCAGUGUGACGAGCAACAUCAGCAAUUGGAGCUGUUCCACACCCGAAGCGCCAAUGUGCUCAUCUUCUCGAAUGGAACGCUGUCCGUGCGUGAACGCGACAUCCUCGUCCAGCCUGCCAACUAUUGUGUAGAUCGCUUUGUGGCGCUGGUCUGCGUUGAACGCGAUGCGCCAUUGCCCAUGCAACAGCAGGAACGUCAACCGGGUGACGAGUCUCAACAGGUGGCGCCACCACCACCACCGCCAACGUUGCGUCUGCGCAAAUGCUGUGGCAAGCGUGGCAUCUACAACAGCAACAUCAAAAGUUGUACACUGCAAACAGCAGCGAGCGGCAGCAGCGAUGCUAAUGGACAGCUGCAAUUGGAGCCACAGUUGCCAUGGGGCAGUUAUCAAACCAGCUACGGACUCCCGGAGUGUCAUCUGGGGAAUGGCAGUGCGUAUGCCAUUGCCGGGGAUUGGCAUGAGGCAACAUUGAAUCGCACAACGGGCGCUCUGCAACUGCAACUCACGAAUCUGAGCGCAUUGCAAUAUUGUCUAGAGCACACGGAACGUGCCGGCGAGGUGAAGAUCAUUACGUGCAGUCAGCAUUUCGGACAGGACACCAACCAGGCUCAAUAUGCGGAUGAUGUCUCAAUACUCAGCGUGGGCAUCGUCAUAUCGAUUGUGUUUCUGGCGGCCACAUUGGUUGCCGGCUACAUGUUGCCAGCGGUGCAUCAUGCGCUCCACUGGCGCUGUCAGAUCUAUUAUGUGUUCUGUCUGCUCCUCGGCAAAAUCCUGUUGAUUGUCGAGAUAAGCCGAGCCCUGGAACCGGGGACGAUGAGUUGCAUGCUGCUGGCCAUUGGCAUGCAGUUCUUCUUUUUGUCCGCCUUCUUUUGGCUAAACACCAUGUGCUUCAACAUCUGGUGGACAUUCCGGGACUUUCGUCCCAGCUCCCUGGAGCGCAAUCAGGAGACCCUACGCCUGCGUUUGUACUCCGCCUAUGCCUGGGGUGUGCCGCUCUUGAUAUGCGCCAUUGCCGCCUGUGUGGAUCAGUUGCCCGAAACGGAGACGGCGCUGUUGCGCACGGGAUUCGGACAACCGUAUUGCUGGUUCGAUAAUCGUGCGGCGAUCUUCGCGUACUUCUUUGGACCGAUCGGAUUGCUGUUGUGCGCCAACAUAAUGCUCUUCAUCUCGACCACACAUCAGUUGACCUGCGGUCUGUGGAAGCGCGACGAUGUCAAGUCAACGUCGGAGAAAUCGGCAUUGGGUCGCGUCUGCCUCAAGCUGGUUGUUGUGAUGGGUGUUACAUGGAUAUGGGAUAUUAUCUCGUGGCUGGUGGGCGGGCCCAAUGAAGUGUGGCUAAUGACGGAUCUGAUCAAUGCCCUGCAGGGUGUAUUCAUCUUUAUUGUCGUGGGAUGCCAGCCGCAGGUGUGGACCGCCUGCAAGCGCAUCUGUUGUCCGCGACUCACGCACGACAUCACGAACACAACGAAUGGGGUGCAGCAUUCGAGCAGCUCGCAGGGAUUGCCCUCGAUGGCCGGAUGUGGCACCGAGUUUACGCAAAACACCUCGAUGAAUGUGACGACGUUGGCCAGUCCAGAUGAUUCUGCACCUGCAGUGCCAACAUCAUCGCCGCCAAGAACGCCAACACUGAGCAUAGCAAACACCACAACAGCAACAACAGGAGCAACAACAACAACUACAAAGAUACCCAUGGAAACUAUUUGCUAAGAAAACUGAGACGAGCGACAAUGCGAAAGUAAACCGAGUCCUACAGCAACAACAACAGCAGCAACAACAAAAACAACGACAACGGCAGAAACAACCACAACAACAAUGACAAUGAAACGGGCCGACUACAACAACAUGCGGUCACACUUGCGCAAUAGUAACCGCAACAAUAGCAGCCACCACCACCACAACAACAACAACAACAACAAAAGCAGCAGCAGCGGGUAAAUUCAACAUUCAAGCACGCGCAUUGAGCGAGCGAAUGAGCGAAAGGCCUGCAACUUCCAACUGCCCAGCCCAGCCCAGCUGGCCAAGCUUAUUUCUUAAUUGGACGCGUUUAUGUGGGCAGCAGACACAACUUGAUCCUGAUUGGGAGCGGCGCUCUUUUACCAAAAUACCGAUGAAUUAUCUGCUUGUAAACACAGCCCGAGUUUAUUUACAUCAGGCAUGUUUCUCUCUUUCUCUCUUUCUUUCUCCAAGUGUAUGUGUGUGUAUGUAAUUUUGUAAGUGUGUGUUUUGUUUUCGGCGCACAGAAAAGCGAAGCGCGCGUUUAAUUAAACAAACAUUGAGCUGGUUAAUAGUUUACUUUGAUAUGCACACACAUACACACAACGAAAUGAAAACAAAAAUACACACACAGAGAGACGUUUGCAUUUACAUUUAUCAUCAAAAGUUCAACGCAACGAAACUGAUCAAGGUUAAAUGGCCUAAAACAAAAACAACAACAACAACAACGAAAGAAGCACAAUGAAUGAGAAAUAGAAACACAAAACGUAAACACACAUAAAAAAAGAUGCCAAUAAGAAAGCGAGUUUAAUUAACCGGACACACACACACACAGAAAACACUAUAGUAAGACGCAAUAUGCCGUUAGAGUUAGUUAGUCGGUUGGCCCCAAAAAAAAGUGUUACCAGAUCUGUUAAAAAACACGUAGACUCCCGUCGCUUGCAUAAUGUAUUUCAAUUUACCUUUUUUUUGAACGCAGAAACUAAAAACAGUACAAUCAUUUUUUUUUAACAACACGUUUUAAUUUAUUUACGUAAUUUUUUUUUUUUUAGUAAUUAUAUUAGUGCGUUUAACGUAUGUCGAAAAAGAAAAGAAAAUGCGUUUUGAAAACCUACAAAAAAAAUAAGAAACAAGAAAUCAAAGAGAAGAA